rnacentral:rRNA from 1 species
GACGAACGCUGGCGGCGUGCUUAACACAUGCAAGUCGAACGGAAAGGCCCUGCUUUUGUGGGGUGCUCGAGUGGCGAACGGGUGAGUAACACGUGAGUCACCUGCCCUUGACUUUGGGAUAACUUCAGGAAACUGGGGCUAAUACCGGAUAGGAGCUCCUGCUGCAUGGUGGGGGUUGGAAAGUUUCGGCGGUUGGGGAUGGACUCGCGGCUUAUCAGCUUGUUGGUGGGGUAUUGGCUUACCAAGGCUUUGACGGGUAGCCGGCCUGGGUGGGUGACCGGCCACAGUGGGACUGAGAUACGGCCCAGACUCCUACGGGAGGCAGCAGUGGGGAAUAUUGCACAAUGGGCGGAAGCCUGAUGCAGCAACGCCGCGUGCGGGAUGACGGCCUUCGGGUUGUAAACCGCUUUCGCCUGUGACGAAGCGUGAGUGACGGUAAUGGGUAAAGAAGCACCGGCUAACUACGUG